CGUAGGUGCGAGCGUUGUCCGGAAUUAUUGGGCGUAAAGGGCUCGUAGGCGGUUUGUCGCGUCGGGAGUGAAACACUGGGCUUAACCGAGUGCUUGCUUUCGAUACGGGCAGACUAGAGGUAUGCAGGGAGAACGGAAUUCCUGGUGUAGCGGUGAAAUGCGCAGAUAUCAGGGGAACACCGGUGGCGAAGGCGGUUCUCUGGGCAUUACCUGACGCUGAGGAGCGAAAGUGUGGGGAGCGAACAGGAUU
rnacentral:rRNA from 1 species